CUGGCUUUUCCAUCAUUUCCCCUCUGUUUUAUCCAGCUGCUGAUGAUUUGGCAGAGAUGUUAACCCAGGGUGGCACCUGAGUGGGUGGAGCAUCCUUAACCCAUGGGUUUGCUUUGCAGAGUUAAGAGUGCAGAGCUGGGAGGAGCUGGAGCACAGGCAUUGCAGCAACACACAGCCCGGCCCAUCUGGACUCAUGGUAGCACCUAAGGCAUGUGUGGGAGGCAUGCAGCACCUCGUUAUCAACCUGCCAGGGCUGGACAGGACAGCUACAGAGCCACAGGGAGCAUCACGUUCUUAAUAUUGGCUGCAAUCUCUGCCUGUAUCCUCUCUCCACUCGGGACAUGGGAGUGCACACUGGGCAUGCUCACUGCGCUGGUUUGCACAGCUGUCAAAGUACGUUCCCUUGGCCCUUCCGAUAAUCACUAAUUAUUAAUAGCACACAAAAUAAAUAGUAUUCUUACUGUCUUGGGCCGUGCCUG
rnacentral:lncRNA from 1 species